rnacentral:rRNA from 1 species
GGUUAAGCGACUAAGCGUACACGGUGGAUGCCCUGGCAGUCAGAGGCGAUGAAGGACGUGCUAAUCUGCGAUAAGCGUCGGUGAGGUGAUAUGAACCGUUAUAACCGGCGAUUUCCGAAUGGGGAAACCCAGUGUGUUUCGACACACUAUCAUUAACUGAAUCCAUAGGUUAAUGAGGCGAACCGGGGGAACUGAAACAUCUAAGUACCCCGAGGAAAAGAAAUCAACCGAGAUUCCCCCAGUAGCGGCGAGCGAACGGGGAGCAGCCCAGAGCCUGAAUCAGUGUGUGUGUUAGUGGAAGCGUCUGGAAAGGCGCGCGAUACAGGGUGACAGCCCCGUACACAAAAAUGCACAUACUGUGAGCUCGAUGAGUAGGGCGGGACACGUGGUAUCCUGUCUGAAUAUGGGGGGACCAUCCUCCAAGGCUAAAUACUCCUGACUGACCGAUAGUGAACCAGUACCGUGAGGGAAAGGCGAAAAGAACCCCGGCGAGGGGAGUGAAAAAGAACCUGAAACCGUGUACGUACAAGCAGUGGGAGCCUCUUU